rnacentral:rRNA from 1 species
GUGCCAGCAGCCGCGGUAAUACGUAUGGGGCAAGCGUUAUCCGGAUUCAUUGGGCGUAAAGAGCGCGUAGGCGGAUUGUUAAGUCGGAUGUGAAAACCGGGGGCUCAACCCGCGGCCUGCAUCUGAAACUGGCAGUCUUGAGUCUGGUAGAGGAGUGUGGAAUUCCCAGUGUAGCGGUGAAAUGCGCAGAUAUUGGGAGGAACACCAGUGGCGAAGGCGGCACUCUGGGCCACGACUGACGCUGAGGCGCGAAAGCUAGGGGAGCGAACAGGAUUAGAUACCCCCGUAGUCC